rnacentral:misc_RNA from 1 species
UCUGCAAUCAUGAGCUGGUGGUGGGCUGGCGCGAUCGGCGCCGCCAAGAAGAAACUCGAUGAGGACUCCGCCCCUACCAACCGCUUCAACAGCGUCGCCCUCAUCAUCGGUGUCACCGGCAUCGUCGGCACCAGCCUCGCCGAGAUCCUCCCCCUUCCCGACACUCCUGGCGGCCCCUGGAAGGUCUACGGUGUCUCCCGCCGCACCCCCAUCCCUUCCCCCACCGCCGACGUCCUCUCCGUCGAGCACAUCCCCUGCGACGUCUCCGAUCCCGCCGAUGCCCUCGCCAAGAUCUCCCCCCUCACUGACGUCACCCACGUCUUCUACGUCGCCUGGGCGGCCCGCGCCACCGAAGCGGAGAACCGCACCGUCAACUCCGCCAUGCUCAGUAACGUCCUCGCCGCCGUCCUCCCCUCCGCCACCAACCUCCAGCACGUUUGCCUCCAGACCGGGCGCAAACACUACUUCGGCCCGUUUGAAUUCAUCUUGAGUGGAUCGUACACACCUCAUGAUCCACCGUUCCAUGAAGAUCUCCCCCGCCUUAAUGUUCCCAACUUCUACUACGAUAUGGAAGACAUCCUGUUUGAGGAAUUGUCGAAGCGAGGCGGGGCGGUGUCAUGGACCGUCCACCGCCCCACCAUCAUCUUCGGCUACUCCCCCUCAUCCCUCAUGAAUAUUCUUGGGACACUAUGUGUGUAUGCUGCUAUCUGCCGCCGGGAGGGCAUGGAUCUGCGCUGGCCCGGGAGCCGGAUCGCGUGGGAGGGUUUCAGCGAUGCCUCGGAUGCCGAUCUGAUCGCCGAGCACCAGAUAUGGGCUGCGGUGGAUCCGUUUGCGAAGAAUGAGGCGUUCAAUUGUAGUAAUGGGGAUGUGUUUAAGUGGAAGCAGCUCUGGCCAUUGCU